CGUGCCAUGUCCGGGUGCUGCAAGUCCGUCUCCAUGCUGGCGAGCGUGUUGAACUAGCGGACUGGGCUCUCUUAUCCCAACACCUGAUGAGAUUAGAGCUUGAUGGUCUCGUUCUGGAACAGAUCUUUCUUGAUUUCUCAAGCUGCCCGGUGUUGGAGGAUCUUGUCCCAAUCCUUGUAACAUCUCAACAUCUCAGCCUGCUGAGUUUUGUUGGCAAUUUGUCCCAACUCACAUUUCUGCUCCAAGUCUUACUUCGCUGCAAUUGGAUGAUUACUUUGGCGUAAUUCCUAUUCUUGAAAAAAUGCCAUCGCUGGAAACAUCAAAGUCAAGCUGGGCCACAACGAUGAGGAUUACCGUGAUUUCUAUGAUAAAGGUGGUUCUGGAGAAUGUACUUGUUGCACGUGUUUGAUAUAUUAUGCUAAUGGUAGUAGAAAUAAUGUAUGUGUGCUUUUUGGAGGUCUGUCAAGUGCGACACGUUUGGAAUUGAAAGCUUCCCCAGAAAUGGUUACAUGGAAAAGGGGUCUGAGAUACUGCCCAAUAUUUAGUAAGUUAAAAACUUUGUUGCUCAAUGACUGGUGUUUGGUUGACCAGCAUACACUGGUUUGCUUUCUCCAACACACAAACAAUUCUUGAGAAACUCAUUCUUCAACUCAGUAAGAGAGCCAAACCUGCAGUGGAAAUGGAAGGCAGCGAUCUGGUGAUACAAUCACUUACACUGAGGCAACUUAAGAUUAUCGAAGUUAGAUGUUAGAUAAUUGAUGAAAGGGUUCACAGUAUUUUGAAGAUAUGGUGUUCCUACAGCAUAGGUCUUGAGCAAAUUAAUGUCCAAGUCCAACAGAUUUGAAAUGCACGCAAACGACUUCAGAACCAUACAAGAUUGGUGGGGCGGAAGUAGCAGGCAUUUUCUGAAGUGAGAACAACUUUUGAUGGUAUGGCAGUUUACUUUUGGUGGAAUACAUGGAAAGAGCUCAAUAAAAGAUAUGUUCAACUUUCAAGACCUGAAACUCAACGCAUACUAAGUCGCCCAUCAGACUUCGGAGGACAUCCAUCAAAGAAGGCUUGCUUAUGCGGAAGAACGGAAGGACUAGCUGCGCAAGUUUUUGUCAGAUUAGCUACUGUAUCUUCUUAGUUGUCAUGUAGGUAAUUCAUACCACAUUUUGGAUCUGCAAUCUAUUUAACUUCGGAAUAUUAUAACAGAAUUGUGAGACUUGACAGUCGUUACGUACUAGAGUGAGCAGAAUAAUAUACAACUAAACAUU